rnacentral:tRNA from 1 species
GCGCCCGUAGUUCAACGGAUCGAAUGCCUCCCUCCGAAGGAGGUGAUCGAGGUUCAAUUCCUCGCGGGCGCA